rnacentral:rRNA from 1 species
UAAUACGAACUGUGCGAACGUUAUUCGGAAUCACUGGGCUUAAAGGGUGCGUAGGCGGUUCGUUAAGUCAGGUGUGAAAUCCCUCGGCUCAACCGGGGAAUUGCGCUUGAAACUAGCGGGCUGGAGCGAGGCAGGGGUAUGUGGAACUUCCGGUGGAGCGGUGAAAUGUGUAGAUAUCGGAAGGAACGCCGGUGGCGAAAGCGGCAUACUGGGCCUUGUCUGACGCUGAGGCACGAAAGCUAGGGGAGUGAACGGGAUUAGAUACCCCGGUAAUCCUAGCCGUAAACACUGAGCACUGGAGGGGAGGGGCUUCGGCCUUUUCCCUCGCAGCGAAAGCGUUAAGUGCUCCGCCUGGGGAGUAUGGUCGCAAGGCU